rnacentral:rRNA from 1 species
AGAGUUUGAUCCUGGCUCAGGACGAACGCUGGCGGCGUGCCUAAUACAUGCAAGUCGAGCGAGCUUGCCUAGAUGAUUUUAGUGCUUGCACUAAAUGAAACUAGAUACAAGCGAGCGGCGGACGGGUGAGUAACACGUGGGUAACCUGCCCAAGAGACUGGGAUAACACCUGGAAACAGAUGCUAAUACCGGAUAACAACACUAGACGCAUGUCUAGAGUUUGAAAGAUGGUUCUGCUAUCACUCUUGGAUGGACCUGCGGUGCAUUAGCUAGUUGGUAAGGUAACGGCUUACCAAGGCAAUGAUGCAUAGCCGAGUUGAGAGACUGAUCGGCCACAUUGGGACUGAGACACGGCCCAAACUCCUACGGGAGGCAGCAGUAGGGAAUCUUCCACAAUGGACGAAAGUCUGAUGGAGCAACGCCGCGUGAGUGAAGAAGGGUUUCGGCUCGUAAAGCUCUGUUGGUAGUGAAGAAAGAUAGAGGUAGUAACUGGCCUUUAUUUGACGGUAAUUACUUAGAAAGUCACGGCUAACUACGUGCCAGCAGCCGCGGUAAUACGUAGGUGGCAAGCGUUGUCCGGAUUUAUUGGGCGUAAAGCGAGUGCAGGCGGUUCAAUAAGUCUGAUGUGAAAGCCUUCGGCUCAACCGGAGAAUUGCAUCAGAAACUGUUGAACUUGAGUGCAGAAGAGGAGAGUGGAACUCCAUGUGUAGCGGUGGAAUGCGUAGAUAUAUGGAAGAGCACCAGUGGCGAAGGCGGCUCUCUGGUCUGCAACUGACGCUGAGGCUCGAAAGCAUGGGUAGCGAACAGGAUUAGAUACCCUGGUAGUCCAUGCCGUAAACGAUGAGUGCUAAUGUGUUGGGAGGUUUCCGCCUCUCAGUGCUGCAGCUCACGCAUUAAGCACUCCGCCUGGGGAGUA